rnacentral:rRNA from 1 species
GAUGAACGCUGGCGGCGUGCCUAAUACAUGCAAGUCGAGCGAACGGACGAGAAGCUUGCUUCUCUGAUGUUAGCGGCGGACGGGUGAGUAACACGUGGAUAACCUACCUAUAAGACUGGGAUAACUUCGGGAAACCGGAGCUAAUACCGGAUGAUAUUUUGAACCGCAUGGUUCAAAAGUGAAAGACGGUCUUGCUGUCACUUAUAGAUGGAUCCGCGCUGCAUUAGCUAGUUGGUAAGGUAACGGCUUACCAAGGCAACGAUGCAUAGCCGACCUGAGAGGGUGAUCGGCCACACUGGAACUGAGACACGGUCCAGACUCCUACGGGAGGCAGCAGUAGGGAAUCUUCCGCAAUGGGCGAAAGCCUGACGGAGCAACGCCGCGUGAGUGGUGAAGGUCUUCGGAUCGUAAAACUCUGUUAUUAGGGAAGAACAUAUGUGUAAGUAACUGUGCACAUCUUGACGGUGCCUAAUCAGAAAGCCACGGCUAACUACGUG